rnacentral:rRNA from 1 species
GAGUUUGAUCCUGGCUCAGGAUAAACGCUGGCGGCGUGCCUUACGCAUGCAAGUCGAACGAAGCCCCUCGCUUCGGUGAGGGAGACUGAGUGGCAAACGGCUGAGUAACGCGUAGGUGAUCUGUCCCGAGGAGGGGAACAACCCGUGGAAACGCGGGCUAAUGCCCCAUACGCCCACCGGAUCGGACCGGUGGGGAAAUGUUCCGGCGCCUUGGGAGGAGCCUGCGUCCGAUUAGCUGGUUGGUGGGGUAACGGCCCACCAAGGCGACGAUCGGUAGCUGGUCUGAGAGGAUGAUCAGCCAGACUGGGACUGAGACACGGCCCAGACUCCUACGGGAGGCAGCAGCGAGGAAUCUUGCGCAAUGGGCGAAAGCCUGACGCAGCAACGCCGCGUGGGUGAUGAAGGCCUUCGGGUUGUAAAUCCCUUUUGCCGGGGAAGAACUUUGACGGUACCCGGCGAAUAAGCCACGGCUAACUACGUGCCAGCAGCCGCGGUAAUACGUAGGGGGCGAGCGUUGUCCGGAUUUAUUGGGCGUAAAGGGCUCGUAGGCGGCUUGACAAGUCGGCCGUGAAAACCCAGGGCUCAACCCUGGGACGCCGGUCGAUACUGUCAUGGCUAGGGUCCGGUAGAGGGGAAUGGAAUUCCCGGUGUAGCGGUGAAAUGCGCAGAUAUCGGGAGGAACACCAGUAGCGAAGGCGGUUCCCUGGGCCGGUACCGUACUUUGAGUGACGCUAU